rnacentral:tRNA from 9 species
GGAAGUGUGGCCGAGCGGUUGAAGGCACCGGUCUUGAAAACCGGCAACCCGAAAGGGUUCCAGAGUUCGAAUCUCUGCGCUUCCGCCA